GAUGAACGCUGACAGAAUGCUUAACACAUGCAAGUCGAUGGGGAAGUGGUGCUUGCACCAUGGCAACCAUGGCGGACGGGUGAGUAACGCGUAAGGGACUUACCUGCAGGACUGGGAUAACAGGGGGAAACUCCUGACAAGACCGGAUAAUGUCAUGGAGCUGCAUGGCUUUAUGAUGAAAGGAGACGCCUGCGGAGAGCCUUGCGUCCUAUUAGCUAGUUGGUGAGGUAAUGGCUCACCAAGGCGAAGAUAGGUAGCCGGCCUGAGAGGGUGGACGGCCAAAAGGGGACUGAGAUACGGCCCUUACUCCUACGGGAGGCAGCAGUGGGGAAUAUUGGACAAUGGGGGCAACCCUGAUCCAGCAAUUCUGUGUGCACGAAGAAGGUUUUCGGAUUGUAAAGUGCUUUCAGCAGGGAAGAAGUAAGUGACGGUACCUGCAGAAGAAGCGACGGCUAAAUACGUG
rnacentral:rRNA from 1 species